AUUCCAGCUCCAAUAGCGUAUAUUAAAGUUGUUGCGGUAAAAAAGCUCGUAGUUGGAUUUCUGUUGCGAAUGGCCGGUCUUCACUACGUGAGUGUAUCUGGUUCAAUCGUGGCAUCCUCAUAGGAAACGUUGCUGCGCUUCACUGCGUGGUGCGGUGCCUAUGACUUUUACUUUGAGGAAAUUAGAGUGUUCACGGCAGGCAAUCGCCCUGAAUAUGUUAGCAUGGAAUAAUAAUAUAGGAUCUUGGUUCUAUUUUGUUGGUUUCUAGAGCUAAGAUAAUGGUUAAUAGGAACAAUUGGGGGCAUUUGUAUUAACAUGUCAGAGGUGGAAUUCUUGGAUUAUGUUACGACAAACUACUGCGAAAGCAUUUGCCAAGGAUGUUUUCAUCA
rnacentral:rRNA from 1 species